rnacentral:tRNA from 1 species
GUAGGCGUAGCUUAACUGGCAGAGCAGCGGUCUCCAAAACCGCAGGUUGAUGGUUCGAUUCCUUCCGCCUACGC